rnacentral:rRNA from 1 species
CCGUCAAUGAACGGGAAUCAGAUAUUCGCCGAAGCCGCGGCAUCCACGCAAUUGGAUCGGUAGAGGAGCGUUGCUGUCAGCAGUGAAGGUCGAUCGGAAGAACGGCUGGAGCGUCAGCAAGUGCGUAUGUCGGCAUGAGUAACGAUAAAGCAGGUGAAAAUCCUGCUCGCCGUAAGUCUGAGGUUUCCUGGGGAAGGUAAAUCCGCCCAGGGUUAGUCGGGACCUUAGUCCAGGCCGAAAGGCGUAGACGAUGGACAGCAGGUUAAUAUUCCUGCACCGCAUGUGAAGGAUGAACAUGGCGUGACGCUGUCAUGGAGUCGGUCGCCCGGUUAGACGUGGGCGUGCCGCAAGGCCGAGGCCGAUUUGAUGCUGAAGCCGGCAAAGUGACAGUCGAGAAAAACCGCUAUGGGACGACCCAUGUGCCCGUACCACAAACUGACACAGGUAGACGAGGCGAAUAGCCUCAGGCGCUCGAGACAACUCCCUUUAAGGAACUAGGCAAUUUUCCCCCGUAAGUUCGCGAUAAGGGGUGCCCAUCGCAAGAUGGGCCGCAGAGAAAAGGGUCUGGGAACUGUUUAUCAAAAACACAGGUCUGUGCUAAAGCGUAAGCUUACGUAUACAGACUGACGCCUGCCCGCUGUCGGAAGGUUAAGGGAGCCGGUCAACCGCAAGGUGCAGCUGGCGACCGAAGCCCCGAUAAAAGGCGGCCGUAACUAUGACGGUCCUAAGGUAGCGAAAUUCCUUGUCAGGUAAGUUCUGACGCGCAUGAAUGGCGUAAUCACUGGACCAGUGUCUCAAAGGGAGACUCGGUGAAAUUGGAGUUGUGGUGAAGAUACCACAGUCCCGCGGCAAGACGGAAAGACCCCGUGAACCUUUACUGCAGCCUGGUAGCGACCUCAGGUGUCGCAUGCGUAGAAUAGGUGGGAGGCGUUGAUCCACUGGUUUCGGCCGGUGGGGAGUCAAAAUGUGAAAUACCACCCUUGCUACUCUUGAAUUCUAACCACACACCGUGAAUCCGGUUGUGGGACACUGCUAGGUGGGCAGUUUGACUGGGGCGGUCUCCUCCUAAAAGAUAACGGAGGAGUUCUAAGGUUGGCUUAGCGCGUAUGGAAAUCGCGCUGUAUGGGCAUGGCCAUAAGCCAGCUUAACUGCGAGUCGG